UUUCAGUGAACGGGUUUCUGACAUUUUUGUCAGCAGAGCUGGCUGCAGCAGUGGAGGGGAGUGUGUGUUUCACGGCAAUCUCUUCUUGGAUUCUGAAUUUUAUUUCAUUUAACUUCAUUUUUAAGAUGCUCUUUUUCUGGCGUGUGUAAGGUGCCUGGACUUACGCUGUUAGCACAGCAAGCUCCAUUUGACAUCUCGCCUGGGCUCUAGGAUCAUUGUUGCCCACUAUUUAAAACUGUGAUUAUUUUCUUCCUUUUCAUCCACCUUGGCUGUAACAGUUUCUACACAAUGCAGUUCAGAGAGUUUUGUGGACAAGACAGCUUAUGUCGCAUCACUUGUGUAAGAAUGGGAGUUUCCAUCACCAGGAGAGCAGCAUAAAGUACUCAUUCCUGGAGACAAACUGUGGCACGUCCUCCAACCCUGCAGCACUGAGCAGACAUACAAGUUACAAGGACAUCUGCAAAUUUAGAUCCCAUAUUUUGUGCCAUGUUGUGCUACUUGAAGGCAAGCGGUACAAGAAAUGUUUUUGAAGGAGGAUUCUGUCCUUCAUUUCUUGUAUAGACCUUCAGAAGCAAGAAAAUGACAGAAAUGGAC